AUGUGCUAUUUCCUCAAGGUACGAGGAAAGACGUGUUAUUUAUCAAAUUGCUCCCGGAUGAAUAUCAAGCGCAAAAGAGUUGAUCUAGACACCCGGUGCCCAGUUUGUCACAGACUAGAUGAGGAUGGCGGGCAUCUUUUCUUAAAAUGCAAGAUGGUCAAACAAAUUUGGAGGACGAUGGAACUCGAGGAUGCUAGGAGUGCCUUGUUGAACUCUUCUGGACCGAGGGAGAUCUUUGACCAUAUUUGGAGCCUGGACGAAAAACAGCGUGACACUGCUCUUGUCUUGCUGUCGGAAUGGUGGUCCGCGAGAAACAAGGCUAAUGCUGGAGAGAAGAUGCGGACGAUCGAUAAUGUCUGCUAUAUGAUGAGGCAACAUAUGAUGGAAUUCAGUAAGGAUGAUGUGCAAGCCCCCGAUUGUUGA
rnacentral:rRNA from 1 species